GGACUGUGAUGAGUUGUGUGAAAGGUCUCGUUCGUCGUAAUGGCAUUUUUUUGCCUUGCCGACCAUCCUGUUAUAUCACCACCCAUAUUCUGAGUCC